rnacentral:rRNA from 1 species
UUAAGUUAGAAAGGGCGCACGGUGGAUGCCUUGGCACUAGGAGCCGAUGAAGGACGGGACGAACACCGAUAUGCUUCGGGGAGCUGUAAGCAAGCUUUGAUCCGGAGAUUUCCGAAUGGGGAAACCCACCACUCGUAAUGGAGUGGUAUCCAUAUCUGAAUUCAUAGGAUAUGAGAAGGCAGACCCGGGGAACUGAAACAUCUAAGUACCCGGAGGAAGAGAAAGCAAAUGCGAUUCCCUGAGUAGCGGCGAGCGAAACGGGAUUAGCCCAAACCAAGAGGCUUGCCUCUUGGGGUUGUAGGACACUCUGUACGGAGUUACAAAGGAACGAGGUAGAUGAAGAGGUCUGGAAAGGCCCGCCAUAGGAGGUAACAGCCCUGUAGUCAAAACUUCGUUCUCUCCUGAGUGGAUCCUGAGUACGGCGGAACACGUGAAAUUCCGUCGGAAUCCGGGAGGACCAUCUCCCAAGGCUAAAUACUCCCUAGUGACCGAUAGUGAACCAGUACCGUGAGGGAAAGGUGAAAAGCACCCCGGAAGGGGAGUGAAAGAGAUCCUGAAACCGUGUGCCUACAAGUAGUCAGAGCCCGUUAACGGGUGAUGGCGUGCCUUUUGUAGAAUGAACCGGCGAGUUACGAUCUCGUGCAAGGUUAAGCAGAAGAUGCGGAGCCGCAGCGAAAGCGAGUCUGAAUAGGGCGCAUGAGUACGUGGUCGUAGACCCGAAACCAGGUGAUCUACCCAUGUCCAGGGUGAAGUUCAGGUAACACUGAAUGGAGGCCCGAACCCACGCACGUUGAAAAGUGCGGGGAUGAGGUGUGGGUAGGGGUGAAAUGCCAAUCGAACCUGGAGAUAGCUGGUUCUCUCCGAAAUAGCUUUAGGGCUAGCCUCAAGGUAAGAGUCUUGGAGGUAGAGCACUGAUUGGACUAGGGGCCCCUACCGGGUUACCGAAUUCAGUCAAACUCCGAAUGCCAAUGACUUAUCCUUGGGAGUCAGACUGCGAGUGAUAAGAUCCGUAGUCGAAAGGGAAACAGCCCAGACCGCCAGCUAAGGUCCCAAAGUAUACGUUAAGUGGAAAAGGAUGUGGAGUUGCUUAGACAACCAGGAUGUUGGCUUAGAAGCAGCCACCAUUUAAAGAGUGCGUAAUNGCNCACUGGNNGANNGNCACGNNNNGNNNNAUNNANNGGGGCUAAACGUAUCACCGAAGCUGCGGACUGUUCUUCGAACAGUGGUAGGAGAGCGUUCUAAGGGCUGUGAAGCCAGACCGGAAGGACUGGUGGAGCGCUUAGAAGUGAGAAUGCCGGUAUGAGUAGCGAAAGAGGGGUGAGAAUCCCCUCCACCGAAUGCCUAAGGUUUCCUGAGGAAGGCUCGUCCGCUCAGGGUUAGUCGGGACCUAAGCCGAGGCCGAAAGGCGUAGGCGAUGGACAACAGGUUGAUAUUCCUGUACCACCUCCUCACCAUUUGAGCAAUGGGGGGACGCAGGAGGAUAGGGUAAGCGCGGUAUUGGAUAUCCGCGUCCAAGCAGUUAGGCUGGGAAAUAGGCAAAUCCGUUUCCCAUAAGGCUGAGCUGUGAUGGCGAGCGAAAUAUAGUAGCGAAGUUCCUGAUUCCACACUGCCAAGAAAAGCCUCUAGCGAGGUGAGAGGUGCCCGUACCGCAAACCGACACAGGUAGGCGAGGAGAGAAUCCUAAGGUGAUCGAGAGAACUCUCGUUAAGGAACUCGGCAAAAUGACCCCGUAACUUCGGGAGAAGGGGUGCUCUGUUAGGGUGCUGUCUCNUUAUACACAUCUGACGCUGCCGACGNNNGNCNGNNNNUGGAAGGUUAAGAGGAGCGCUUAGCGUAAGCGAAGGUGCGAAUUGAAGCCCCAGUAAACGGCGGCCGUAACUAUAACGGUCCUAAGGUAGCGAAAUUCCUUGUCGGGUAAGUUCCGACCCGCACGAAAGGCGCAACGAUCUGGGCACUGUCUCAACGAGAGACUCGGUGAAAUUAUAGUACCUGUGAAGAUGCAGGUUACCCGCGACAGGACGGAAAGACCCCGUGGAGCUUUACUGCAGCCUGAUAUUGAAUGUUGGUACAGCUUGUACAGGAUNGGUANNNNCNNUUNNNACNNGNNNAAGNNNCAGCGNUUNNNNNANNNGNGGGAUACUACCCUGGCUGUAUUGACCUUCUAACCCGCCGCCCUUAUCGGGCGGGGAGACAGUGUCAGGUGGGCAGUUUGACUGGGGCGGUCGCCUCCUAAAAGGUAACGGAGGCGCCCAAAGGUUCCCUCAGAAUGGUUGGAAAUCAUUCGCAGAGUGUAAAGGCACAAGGGAGCUUGACUGCGAGACCUACAAGUCGAGCAGGGACGAAAGUCGGGCUUAGUGAUCCGGUGGUUCCGCAUGGAAGGGCCAUCGCUCAACGGAUAAAAGCUACCCCGGGGAUAACAGGCUUAUCUCCCCCAAGAGUCCACAUCGACGGGGAGGUUUGGCACCUCGAUGUCGGCUCAUCGCAUCCUGGGGCUGUAGUCGGUCCCAAGGGUUGGGCUGUUCGCCCAUUAAAGCGGUACGCGAGCUGGGUUCAGAACGUCGUGAGACAGUUCGGUCCCUAUCCGUCGCGGGCGCAGGAAAUUUGAGAGGAGCUGUCCUUAGUACGAGAGGACCGGGAUGGACGCACCGCUGGUGUACCAGUUGUUCUGCCAAGGGCAUCGCUGGGUAGCUAUGUGCGGACGGGAUAAGUGCUGAAAGCAUCUAAGCAUGAAGCCCCCCUCAAGAUGAGAUUUCCCAUUCCGCAAGGAAGUAAGAUCCCUGAAAGAUGAUCAGGUUGAUAGGUCUGAGGUGGAAGUGUGGCGACACAUGGAGCUGACAGAUACUAAUCGAUCGAGGACUUAACC